rnacentral:rRNA from 1 species
AACGAACGCUGGCGGCAUGCCUAACACAUGCAAGUCGAACGAGACCUUCGGGUCUAGUGGCGCACGGGUGCGUAACGCGUGGGAACCUGCCCUUAGGUUCGGAAUAACUCCCCGAAAGGGGUGCUAAUACCGGAUAAUGUCUUCGGACCAAAGAUUUAUCGCCUUUGGAUGGGCCCGCGUUGGAUUAGCUAGUUGGUAGGGUAAAAGCCUACCAAGGCGACGAUCCAUAGCUGGUCUGAGAGGAUGAUCAGCCCCACUGGGACUGAGACACGGCCCAGACUCCUACGGGAGGCAGCAGUGGGGAAUAUUGGACAAUGGGCGAAAGCCUGAUCCGGCAAUGCCGCGUGAGUGAUGAAGGCCUUAGGGUUGUAAAGCUCUUUUACCCGGGAUGAUAAUGACAGUACCGGGAGAAUAAGCUCCGGCUAACUCCGUG